GACGAACGCUGGCGGCGUGCCUAAUACAUGCAAGUGGGACGCAAGGACACACACUGUGCUUGCACACCGUGUUUUCUUGAGUCGCGAACGGGUGAGUAACGCGUAGGUAACCUGCCUAUUAGCGGGGGAUAACUAUUGGAAACGAUAGCUAAUACCGCAUAAUAUUAAUUAUUGCAUGAUAAUUGAUUGAAAGAUGCAAGCGCAUCACUAGUAGAUGGACCUGCGUUGUAUUAGCUAGUUGGUAAGGUAAGAGCUUACCAAGGCGACGAUACAUAGCCGACCUGAGAGGGUGGUCGGCCACACUGGGACUGAGACACCGCCCAGACUCCUACGGGAGGCAGCAGUAGGGAAUCUUCGGCAAUGGACGAAAGUCUGACCGAGCAACGCCGCGUGAGUGAAGAAGGUUUUCGGAUCGUAAAGCUCUGUUGUAAGUCAAGAACGUGUGUGAGAGUGGAAAGUUCACACAGUGACGGUAGCUUACCAGAAAGGGACGGCUAACUACGUG
rnacentral:rRNA from 1 species